rnacentral:lncRNA from 1 species
CCCAUAUUCAUCAUUUUAUCACAGAAAUUCGUCCACACACCCUAGGAAGCAAAACACCCCAAAAACACCAUUCUAAUGCCUAGAAAACAUAACAGCCACUCCACCUUCUUCCACCCUCUUUGCCUAGUUCUCCACCACCUUCCAACCAUCAAACACUCUUCCACACUCACCCUAAACCCCUCCAUAUCAUUCCCCAUCCAUUCUACACCAUAAAUCCACCCAAAAAUCUGUCCACAAGC